rnacentral:rRNA from 1 species
CCUACGGGAGGCAGCAGUCGAGAAUCAUUCACAAUGGGGGAAACCCUGAUGGUGCGACGCCGCGUGGGGGAAUGAAGGUCUUCGGAUUGUAAACCCCUGUCAUGUGGGAGCAAAUUAAAAAGAUAGUACCACAAGAGGAAGAGACGGCUAACUCUGUGCCAGCAGCCGCGGUAAUACAGAGGUCUCAAGCGUUGUUCGGAAUCACUGGGCGUAAAGCGUGCGUAGGCUGUUUCGUAAGUCGUGUGUGAAAGGCGCGGGCUCAACCCGCGGACGGCACAUGAUACUGCGAGACUAGAGUAAGGGAGGGGGAAGCGGAAUUCUCGGUGGAGCAGUGAAAUGCGUAGAUAUCGAGAGGAACACUCGUGGCGAAGGCGGGUUCCUGGACAUUAACUGACGCUGAGGCACGAAGGCCAGGGGAGCGAAAGGGAUUAGAUACCCGGGUAGUC